rnacentral:piRNA from 1 species
UUGGGAUUAGGCGGAGAGAGAUUCUUU